CCUACGGGUGGGCAGCAGUGGGGCACAUUGGGCAAUGGGCGCAAGCCUGACCCAGCAACGCCGCGUGAAGGAAGAAGGCUUUCGGGUUGUAAACUUCUUUUGUCAGGGAAGAGUAGAAGACGGUACCUGUCGAAUAAGCCUCGGCUAACUACGUGCCAGCAGCCGCGGUAAUACGUAGGUGGCAAGCGUUGUCCGGAUUUACUGGGUGUAAAGGGCGUGUAGCCGGGUUGACAAGUCAGAUGUGAAAUCCUGCGGCUUAACCGCAGAACUGCAUUUGAAACUGUUGAUCUUGAGUACUGGAGAGGCAGACGGAAUUCCUAGUGUAGCGGUGAAAUGCGUAGAUAUUAGGAGGAACACCAGUGGCGAAGGCGGUCUGCUGGACAGCCACUGACAUUGAUGCUCGAAAGUGUGGGUAUCAAACAGGAUUAGAUACCCGGGUAGUC
rnacentral:rRNA from 1 species